AGGAUGAACGCUGGCGGUCUGCUUAACACAUGCAAGUCGAACGGAGUAGAAAUACUUAGUGGCGGACGGGUGAGUAACGCGUGAGAAUCUACCUUCAGGACGGAGACAACAGUUGGAAACGACUGCUAACCCCCGAUGUACUGAAAAGGCAAAUAUUUAUAGCCUGAAGAAGAGCUCGCGUCCGAUUAGCUAGUUGGAGAGGUAAAAGCUCACCAAGGCGACGAUCGGUAGCUGGUCUGAGAGGACGAUCAGCCACACUGGGACUGAGACACGGCCCAGACUCCUACGGGAGGCAGCAGUGGGGAAUAUUGCGCAAUGGGCGGAAGCCUGACGCAGCGACGCCGCGUGGGGGAUGACGGCCUUCGGGUUGUAAACCUCUUUCGCCAGAGACGAAGAGAAAUUGACGGUACCUGGAUAAGAAGCACCGGCCAACUACGUGCCAGCAGCCGC
rnacentral:rRNA from 1 species